GAUGAAGAACGUAGUGAAAUGCGAUACGUAAUGUGAAUUGCAGAAUUCAGUGAAUCAUCGAGUCUUUGAACGCACAUUGCGCCCCCUGGUAUUCCGGGGGGCAUGCCUGUCCGAGCGUCAUUGCUGCCCUCAAGCACGGCUUGUGUGUUGGGCCUCCGUCCUCCUCCCGGGGGACGGGCACGAAAGGCAGCGGCGGCACCGCGUCCGGUCCUCGAGCGUAUGGGGCUUCGUCACCCGCUCUUGUAGGCCCGGCCGGCGCUUGCCGACACAUCAAUCUUUUUUCCAGGUUGACCUCGGAUCAGGUAGGGAUACCCGCUGAACUUAAGCAUAUCAAUAAGCGGAGGA
rnacentral:misc_RNA from 1 species